UACGGGGGGGCAAGCGUUGUUCGGAAUUACUGGGCGUAAAGGCUCGUAGGCGGCCAACUAAGUCAGACGUGAAAUCCCCAGCUCAACCUGGGAACUGCGUCUGAUACUGGAUGGCUUGAAUCCGGGAGAGGGAUGCAGAAUUCCAGGUGUAGCGGUGAAAUGCGUAGAUAUCUGGAGGAAUACCGGUGGCGAAGGCGGCAUCCUGGACCGGCAUUGACGCUGAGGAGCGAAAGCCAGGGAGCAAACGGG
rnacentral:rRNA from 1 species